GACGUAGGGCGCGAGCGUUGUCCGGAUUUAUUGGGCGUAAAGAGCUCGUAGGCGGCUUGUCGCGUCGAAUGUGAAAACCUGCAGCUCAACUGCAGGCUUGCAUUCGAUACGGGCAGGCUCGAGUUCGGUAGGGGAGACUGGAAUUCCUGGUGUAGCGGUGAAAUGCGCAGAUAUCAGGAGGCCCCCCCUGUCUGCUGCGGGUCUCUGGGCCGCUCCUGGCUCUGAGGAGCGUAGGCGUGGGGAGCGAACAGG
rnacentral:rRNA from 1 species